rnacentral:rRNA from 1 species
AUUGAACGCUGGCGGCAGGCCUAACACAUGCAAGUCGAACGAGUGGCGGACGGGUGAGUAAUGUCUGGGAAACUGCCUGAUGGAGGGGGCUAACUACUGGAAACGGUAGCUAAUACCGCAUACCAUCGGAUGUGCCCAGAUGGGAUUAGCUAGUAGGUGGGGUAACGGCUCACCUAGGCGACGAUCCCUAGCUGGUCUGAGAGGAGGACAAGCCACACUGGAACUGAGACACGGUCCAGCCUCCUACGGGAGGCAGCAGUGGGGAAUAUUGGACAAUGGGCGCAAGCCUGAUGCAGCCAUGCCGCGUGUAUGAAGAAGGCCUUCGGGUUGUAAAGUACUUUCAGCGGGGAGGCGGUACCCGCAGAAGAAGCACCGGCUAACUCCGUGCCAGCCGCCGCGGUAAUUC